rnacentral:lncRNA from 1 species
GUGAGGCCCUACCCAAGGUGUUGUACAAGGGACAUAGGCAUCUCAGUUGCAGAGAUGUUGCCUCAAUGAACUGAGUCUUGGGGUCCAGCUGUGUUGGCUCUGCCAGUCACUUUGGGUGAUAUCACAUCUGUACUGUGUAAUGCUUCAUGUACUGAGAGACUGUGCAUUAAAUUUGACCUGUGACUCAGUUCUAUGACCCAACUGAAGAUCAAACUGGUGCUCUUUCUCAGGCCCCAGUCCACAGACCAGGCCUGUCUUGGUGGAAGGACAUGGCAGAGAACUGCUCACCACAUGGGAGCCAGGAAACAGAGAAGGAAAGAGUCAGAGAAGAAAGAGCCAAGGACUAGAUGGAGUUCCCAAGUUCACAACUCCAUGACCCUCUUCCUUCAAAGGAGGAAAAGCUCUUGGAAGUUAGAAGAAUGCGACCAUGUUUGCACCUAUAACAGGGGAG